rnacentral:rRNA from 1 species
GAUCCUGGCUCAGAUUGAACGCUGGCGGCAUGCCUUACACAUGCAAGUCGAACGGCAGCACGGGACUUCGGUCUGGUGGCGAGUGGCGAACGGGUGAGUAAUAUAUCGGAACGUGCCCAGUCGUGGGGGAUAACGUAGUGAAAAUUACGCUAAUACCGCAUACGAUCUAAGGAUGAAAGCGGGGGAUCGCAAGACCUCGCGCGAUUGGAGCGGCCGAUAUCAGAUUAGGUAGUUGGUAGGGUAAAGGCCUACCAAGCCAACGAUCUGUAGCUGGUCUGAGAGGACGACCAGCCACACUGGAACUGAGACACGGUCCAGACUCCUACGGGAGGCAGCAGUGGGGAAUUUUGGACAAUGGGCGCAAGCCUGAUCCAGCAAUGCCGCGUGCAGGAAGAAGGCCUUCGGGUUGUAAACUGCUUUUGUACGGAACGAAACGGUCUGGGCUAAUACCCCGGGCUAAUGACGGUACCGUAAGAAUAAGCACCGGCUAACUACGUG